rnacentral:rRNA from 1 species
UUUAAAUUGAGAACGAUCGCCGGCUCAGAUUGAACGCUGGCGGCAGGCCUAACACAUACAAGUCGAACGGUAACAGGAAGCGGCUUGCUGCUUUGCUGACGAAGUGGCGAGGGGCUUGGUGAGCUAAUGUGUCUGGGAAACUGCCUGAUGGAGGGAUAACUACUGGAAACAUUUGGCUAAUACCGCAUAACGUCGCAAGACCAAGAAACUGGGCCUCUUGCCAUCAGAUGUGCCCAGAUGGGAGUUAGCUAGUUGGUGAGUAACGGCUCGCAAAGGGCGACGAUCCUAGCUGGUCUGAGAGGAUGACCAGCCACGCUGGAACACAACACGGUCCAGACUCCUACGGGGAGGCAGCAGUGGGAAAUAUUGCAAUGGGCGCAAAAGCCUGAUGCAGCCAUGCCGCGUGUAUGAAAGAAGCCUUCCGGGUUUGUAAAGUACUUUCAGCGGGGAGGAAGGUAUUUAUGGUUAACCAACGCAGCAGUGGCGAUACCGCAGAAAGCACCAGCUUCAACUCCGUGCCAGCAGCCGCGGUAGCCACGGAGGUGCAAGCGUUAAUCAGGUACACUGGGCGUAAAGCGCACGCAGGCGGUCUGUCAAGUCGGAUGUGAAAUCCCAGACUCAACACGGGAACUGCAUUUCGAGCUUGGCGGGCUUGAGUCUUGUAGGGGGACGGAAUUCCGGAGGUGUAGCGGUGAAAUGCGUGUGAAUCUGGAGGAACACCGGUGGCGAAGGCGGCUCCACGGACAAAAGACUUGACGCUCAGGUGCGAAAGCGUGGGAGCAAGAAGCAGGAUUAGAUACUGGUAGUCCACGCGCCGUAAACGAUGUCUACUUGGAGUUGUGCGGGGCGUGGCUUCCGGAGCUGGCAUUGAAGUAGACCGCACAGGGGUACGGCCGCAAAGGUUAAAACUCAAAUGAAUUGACGGGGGCCCGCACAGAAGCGGUGGAGCAUGUGGUUUAAUUCGAUGCAACGCAGAAGAACCUUACAGUCUUGACAUCCACGGAAGUUUUCAGAGAUGAGGAAUGUGCCUUCGGGAACCGUGAGACAGGUGCUGCAUGGCUGGCGUCAGCUCGUGUUGUGAAAUGUUGGGUUUGCGUCCACAACGAGCGCAACCCUUACAUCGCUUUAUUUGCCAGCGAUUGGGUCCGGGAACUCAAAGGGAGAACUGCCAGUGAUAAACUGGAGGAAGGUGGGGAUGACGUCAAGUCAUCGCUGGCCCCGCCUGACCCGGGGCUACACACGUGCUACAAUGGCGCAUACAAGAGAAGCGACACUCCGCGAGAGCAAGCGGACUCAUAAAGUGCGUCGUAGUCCGGAUUAGGUCUGCAACUCGACUCCAUGAAGUCGGAAUCAUGAAAUAUCGUGGAUCGAAUGCCACGGUGAAUACGUUCCCCGAGCCUUGUACACACCGCCACGUCACACCAUGGGAAGUGAAUUUGCAAAAGAGGCGGUAGCACUUAACGCUUCGGGGCGCUUACCACUUUGUGAUUCAUGACAGGGUGAGAAGUCGUAACAAGGUAACCGUAGGGAACCUGCGGUUGGAUCACCCCUCCU